GCUCUUGUAGUUUAAUGGAUAGAACGACCCUCUCCUAAGGGGUAAGUACAGGUUCGAUUCCUGUCAGGGGUA
rnacentral:tRNA from 1 species